rnacentral:rRNA from 1 species
GCCCCUUAUGACCUGGGCUACACACGUGCUACAAUGGUUGGUACAACGAGUUGCGAGUCGGUGACGGCGAGCUAAUCUCUUAAAGCCAAUCUCAGUUCGGAUUGUAGGCUGCAACUCGCCUACAUGAAGUCGGAAUCGCUAGUAAUCGCGGAUCAGCACGCCGCGGUGGAAUAACGUUCCCGGGCCCGUU